UGUGAAACUGCUCACGGAGAUGGUGAUGA
rnacentral:piRNA from 1 species